GCAUUAAUGGGGUAGUGGUAACCUGGGUCGUUGCCAUAUCUGUACUUUGAUGAGACUCGACCCGCCGGGGGUUCGAUUCCCCCUUAAUGCA